rnacentral:rRNA from 1 species
CCUACGGGCGGCAGCAGUGAGGAAUAUUGGUCAAUGGACGCAAGUCUGAACCAGCCAUGCCGCGUGCAGGAAGACGGCGCUAUGAGUUGUAAACUGCUUUUGUACAGGGAUAAACGCAGGCACGCGUAUCUGUCUGAAAGUAUUGUACGAAUAAGGAUCGGCUAACUCCGUGCCAGCAGCCGCGGUAAUACGGAGGAUUCGCGCGUUAUCCGGAUUUAUUGGGUUUAAAGGGUGCGUAGGCGGUCGGUUAAGUUAGAGGGGAAAGUCCGCGGCUCAACUUCGGAAUUGCCUUUGAUACUGUGUGGCUUGAGAGUAGUGGAGGUAGGCGGAAUGUGUGGUGUAGCGGUGAAAUGCUUAGAGAUCGUACAGAACUCCGAUUGCGAAGGCAGCUUACCAGGCUCCUUCUGACGUUGAGGCACGAAAGCGUGGGUAGCAAACAGGAUUAGAUACCCUAGUAGUC